GCGGGUAUGGCGGAAUUGGCAGACGCGCAGGAUUUAGGUUCCUGUGAAAUCAUUCGUGUGGGUUCGACUCCCACUACCCGCACCA
rnacentral:tRNA from 1 species